rnacentral:lncRNA from 1 species
UUGGGUUUUUCCUCCGCGACAAUCAAUUUGGCUGUUUUUCACCAUUUCUGACGGACUAAAUCAAUGUGACAGGAGCACUCGCUCUCGCUUAGGUGGAAGAUUUUACACUGUCAGAGGAGGAUUUUUCUGCUCUCCUAGCAAACAAAAGAAAAGUGUCUGCCGACGAGGGCAGAGCGGGCGCAUGAAGUGUUAGAAAUCAGACAGCGGGGGACACCCAGGAUGACAGGAAGGACAGGAUUUAAGGAGAGGAGGAGUGCAGGUGGGAAUAAAGUGCUGUACAGAAGUGAACAUGAUGUGAUGAGAUCAUAAACUGUAGAAAUGUAAAUCGGACUCUCCUGAGGUUGAGACUUUCAGGCCCUGAGCGUUAAAAUGAAGGUCUGAUUGACAUGCUUCUGGUGUAACAGAGUGGAGGAUUAUGUUUUCACACCAACUCUGAGUAAACCUGGAAGGUUGAACUGAGAGUUAGUGUUGCAGGAAAACACAACACACACACACACACACACACACACACACACACACACACACACAGGAGUCACAAGUCUGUCUAGUGUUAUGAACGUUCAGAUCCAACACCUCACUCGUCCUGACUGCUCCGCCUCCCUGUGCCUGAAACGCUGAGCCCGGUCACGUCAGAGGCUAAAGUUACUGUUACCACGGUUACCAGGUCUUCACCAACUUCACCGUCCACCUUUUACUCCUGCACAUGCAGGGCGCUCUCUGCUCUUCGGUCAAAAAUCGAUGAUGUGAUGAAAACAGAGGAAGUAGGAAGUAAGAGGAUCAUGAUGGACUUUAUUUAUUUAAUGUUCAGAUGGAUCAGAGGAGACUCGGGGUCGACUGAACGUUCAUGGAAGUCCAGCUGCUGUUCAACCAUCCUCACUCUCCAUCAUAUACUUUAUUUUUGUAUCCAUCACAGGGCUUGACACUAACUAAGGAGUACUAUUAUUACUAUUAUUAGAAAUCAAUUUUAGGUCUUUUGGUCACAUGACAUGGAAGCUAUUGUGAGAACAGCCUUUUCUGAGAACAUCAACCGGUAAUUUAUUGACGGUCCCUUAUUCAACACCCGACGUUGACAGUGAGGGUGUCGAGUAGAUUUAACCGCGCUGCUGUUGUUAUUCCCGGUUAUGGAGAGUGAGAAGACAGCGGUAGAUCCUCAGAGAAUGUCCGUCAGAUAUCCAACCUGAAA